GCAGCGAUGACAUGUCCUAUAAUCAGUCACCCAUACCGCCUGCCUGGGGCUAAAAGUCAGAAGGUUGAUGUAACUCCUCUGCCUAUUUUCCCCUUUGAAACUUCAAACUCCAGUUUGUGAACAAAGUCCUGUCUAUCUCCACAAUAAGGAUCUCCGACCAGUGACCAAACUCCAUUUGUAACCACUGCCUAUUUGUACUUUCUCUCCAAUGACUCUUUUUCAUUUCACCUGUCUGACCAAAUGGGAAUAACAAGUAGCACUACAAAGGGAGAUGUAUAAUGCACAUGUUGCGGGAACCGGUGGCCUACAAGGAAUAACACGCUCUUGGAGUACUCGGGAAUGGUUUUCACGUGGGAAUAUGAGUGUUAUGCUUUCUUUGGGUUUGAAUAUUUGUUAAGAAUGGGAGAAGACGGCAUGAGUAUGUUUAGUAAAGCUCAUUCGAGGUCAGUAGAAAAGCCGCUGUGGAUUGACUGGGGUAGAUGGCACAGAUGUGAGUAUGGCGACAUAGUGAACACACAACAGAUUGUCAACAGAUCGGUUGGUAAACGGCAAGCUCACAACUCUCAUGCCCUUUGGGGGCAAAAUAUAAACUUUUGCUUAUUUGAAAUUAUCCUUUUUUUAUAUAUAAAAAUCUAUCUAUUUGUAGUUUUAAACUGUUGCAGUGUACUCUAAGACUGCUGAAAUGUAUCUUUAUCCUAAGUGUGUUGGGGCUGAUAAGUGUGGAUAACGCCCCUCCCCUCUGUCUAAACUUUUUUUUUUUGUCUCAUAAGGCUAUGGUGCUUUUUAAAGGCCCGUCGAGUGUAAAUCGAUGGUCAGAUGCUAAAUAUCCAUAGCAUUUAGGACAUUUUCAUUGUGUUUUUUUUUUCUUUGAAGCUUCAUAUUCAGUUUUAAUUAGCUGAUGAUAAUCAAACUAAGAAUUGAAAGUAUUUGCUAAUCAAGCUCUUGUCAGCACCAAGGAGCUGAGAAUCAUGUCAUGUGAUCUGUUGCUCUGAUAAAUGUUCAAACCUUGUUAAGUUUUUAAUACAUAACUCAGGUGCAAAUGAAGAGAAAUUACAAGGAAAACCUGUGAUUCCUGCCAAGAUGCAAUUCAUGAGGUUGUUAGUGGCUUUACGAUGGCCAGUUAAGACCUAAAGCCUUAUGAAAAACCGGCAGAUUUUCAAAACAACUUGAAUUCACUUUUAUCUCCUUCGUUUAAAUGUUUACAUUUUCUGAUUUUAGUUCCACUGCAUUUAAACAAAAUUGAUACUGCCAAUACACUUAUAGUUGUAUUAUUAUUUCCAAUUUCAUUUAGAAGUGUGUUUUUGUCACUUUUAGUAGUUUAUAUACAGUUUGUAUAUAAUUUAUUUACAUUUUUAAUGGUUUUAGUUUCAGUUUUAGUUAAUUGUAUAAUGACCCUGGAUACGUUGUCAAGUACAUGUCUUUUUAGCAGUGUUUGAUUUGAAAAGAAAUACUUUAUAACUCAAAGCCAUUUUCUUAUGAGGAAAUACUCUCCUCCUCCGUAACGAUUAACAAAUACAGUUAUCUAUGGAGUUCCCAUAGUCCUCCUCAGCCAUCACGGUAUUUGUAGUGUAGGUAAUCAUAAACCCCUAGGACCUAAUAUCGCACAGCCUCCAUAAAGUCUUCCAGUUUAAAACUCAGAAUCAUUGGGUAAUAAUAUGUUUGACAAAAAAGGGUCACAUUUAGCCAACCUUUGCUGUUACCUGCUUAUCACUUUCGAUGUCAUGCUUUACAUCAUAAACAUGAUAAAGCCACUGAUAGGAUUUUGUCCUGAUGGCUAGCCGGCUUGUUUAUCGAGUGAUCACAGCUUUAUGGGAUCACAUACUAUUUGACAACUUACGCUACUGAAAUGAUCAAGUUUCUUUGUUACUUUCAACACAUUACAAAAGCUCAAGUAACUCUGUGCACAUCACGCGAGUAAACAAGUGCAUCAAUAAACAUUCAGAGCAAUGCUCUUUGUAAAUCAAUCACAUCUUCUGAUAAGGCUCUUUCAAUGAUUAACUGUUUUUCUGCUGAGAAUCGCUUUGGCUGUUGACCCAAUCAUAUUUGCAGGCUGAGUGAUGCUGCAUGGACAGUUAUCACUCACUUUUUAUCAACAAUCAAUCAAUCAAUCACCUUUUCAUCACAGUGUACAGCUCUCGAGAACAUUUCACCCUAACAAGUUUAACUUUACCCCAGUUUAUCCAAACUGAAGAGUCUUAAGUGGUUAUUAAAUUUGUUAUAAUUUAACACACUGGGGCUUGGUGUACUUUUACUCAUCCGUGCUGUUUUGAAGUCAUUCUCUUGCAGUCUGAGUAUCACUAUAGUACAAAACAAAGUACAUAAUUGCAUAAUGAAUAUGUUUUUUUACAAGUGUGAUCAUUAUUUAACGGAUUUAACGACACAAUGGAAACUCAGCACAAGAAGAAUCUGGAAGCCUUUUUCCCCCCAUGUUUUUCAUUAAUCUUGGAUGAUGGAUCAUUGGAUCGUUUCUUAUGUCAUUAUUCUAUUAGAGGUUUCAUGUUAAUAUUUUAGAUUAUAUCAGGAGUCAGAUAUUAUGGGCAUAUAGAGUAGGUAACUGAGAACAUUUGAUUUAAAGUGUUUUGUAAAUAAAUAUAACAUUUUAGAAUUUGGCAAAAUGUAAAAUAAAUAAAUGUCAUAGUGUGAAAUUCUUUGGUCACUAAUCAAAUAAGUAAUCCCAUUACUGUUAUUUUAGUAUCAUUUAGAUACUAUUGUAGUUUUUAUUUUGAAUCCAUUUAUUUAGAAUUUUUAUAUUUUCUGUUUUCAUUUUUAUUUUAGCUCAACUUUUAGUAAUUUUAUUGUUUUGCCAAUUUUCAGUAGUUUUGUAUAAAUAUAUAUAUAAAAUUUUCUAUAUUUCAAUUACCAUUUUUUUUAAUGGUUUCAAUUUUAGUUUUGUUUUUAGUUAACUAUGGUGACCUAGAUUUACAGAUAUUGACAUAGAAACAUUUAUAUAGUCUAUGUUGCAUCAACCUUGGAUUGUUUUUCCUAUGGUGAUAAAAUUACAUGUUUACAUGUUUAAAGAUAUUUUAAGAAUCACAUCUGAGAAUGUCCCAACAUUUUUAGUGUAUACAGUCAAGUAUACCAUUAAGCAGCUCCUUCAUGUGGACAAAGCUUGCAAUUACAUCUGCAAAGUUCUCAGUGUUGGGCCUUCCUGAGAAGAACCACAAGGACUUCACCAAUUGUCAACUGAAGUCCCCAAAAAUCUCAAAUCUGCAGUGAUUUUCAUAAGCACACCUCGACUGUCCUAAAAGAGGCAGUGAAUCUGCGGUCGCUCUACCUGGUGUGGUGUUGAAGUGGCCCGUGACAUGUCCUUCAAACAUCCUGCACUUGUCUGUGGUCCUGAGAGCUGGCAGGACCCCCGGCUCCUCAGCCUUCUCCAAACAAUGACCUAUCCAUUCAGUCCUCAGUGUAUCUCAGUGAGUGUGAGAGUGUGUGAGGGAGCCGGCGUUCUCACACACGCUGACCAGCAGCUCGACCUAAUCUCUUAAUGCCUAUCACAAUGAGAUUUGAUUGGGGGCUUGAGCACACGGCCUAAUAGUGUCAAGUGUACAGAGCGUAUAAUUCAUAUCUGGCACUUCCUGUUCCCGAGGCCCAUGGAUUCUCCCUUAAUUGGAUAUGAAACAUUAACUUGUCAUUUUGAUGAGUGUGACACCAGUGUUUAGUCAGCGAAUACGCUUCUGAAUUGAACAGUUUUCUGGUGCUGAGGAGAGAAUUGUACUGAGACAUCACUUACUGUUAGCUGUCUGGACAAUUGUUGUGGUGCCAAUCUGGUAGACACCAUUCAGAAGUAUGGGGUUGGGAAGAUUUUUUAAAUGUUUUUGAAAGAAGUCUUUUAUGCUCAGCCUGGAUGUUUUUAUUUGUAUUCCAGAAUACAGUAAGAGAGUAAAAUGGCGAAAUGUUGUUACAAUUUAAAAUAACAGAUGUCUGUUUCAGUGCACGAGAUCCUUCAGAUAUCAUACUAAUUUGCUGAUUUGCUGCUCAAGGAACAUCUCUUAUUAUCAGUGUUGUGAUGCUUAAUGAUAAAUGAUUCAGUAUUUAUUUGAUGUAGAUUUUUUUUAUAACAUUAUGAAUGUCUUCAAUAUCACUUUUCAUCUAUUUAAUAUGCUCUUGCUUUAAAACAUUUUUUUUUUCAUUUUUAAAAACAUUUUUAGUAACAUCACACUUUUGAACAGAAAUAUAUUUAACGCCUACUUUCCACCAUCCAGUCUAUUUCCAAUUUAUACAUAUUCGAUCUUUUAGUCAUGUAUAUCCUGUUAACUAGGAAAGAUUAUGUUUUUUAUGCAUUGUGUGAUAGUACAGAGGAUGUAUAGAUCAUGUACAUUGGUUGUAAACAGUGUGUAUUCUUUGUUGCUGAUGCAUAUCUAUUAUUAUCAUCAAGAUUUAAAUAAAUGUAAAAGGAAGUAUCAAUUUGUUUUCAUAUUUUAAAAGACUUAAUUUUAAAUAAUCCUGCGGUGUGACAAAUUAUAUAAAAAAAAAGUUUCCAUUUUUUAUUUCAGUUUAGUCUCUAUAGAAAAUAUAGAAUGUUGAAAGUGGGUUCCGUUGCUAAAUUCCAGGUUUGAAAGGCUCCAUAUUGAACAGAGAUGAGUUCUGUGAUCAGGAGAAAGAAACACUUCUGUAACUAUUGAACAGGAACAAAUAUUUCCAGACUUGGAAGAGAGUAUUUGUAGAAUAAUGAGAAACUUUUAGUAGCCUUCCAUUGUGGCUUGUUGUCUUUGGUGGCUGCUUGUUCUGGCCUUGAACAUUCUCUGAGCUGACAGCUGGAGCCGCUGGACCUCCACCAGAAAGUCACUCAGCAUUUCAUGUUACUCCAUAAUGUAACAAGCUUUGAUUAGAAUUUUUAGAAAAAUUACCAUUUAUUUUUUUUCAUCAUUUUUAUAACAAAUAGGCAAUAAAGAUUGAAGAACUAAUUGCAUGGAAAAUUAAAAAUUUUACUGUGUACUUUAUAUAUUGCUUGAUGUUAAAGGAAUGAGCUAGUUCACCCAAAAAUGAAAAUUCACUGAAAAUAUACUAGUACUAGUUUGUUUCUUCAUCAGAACAGAUAUUUUGCAUUGCAUCACUUGCUCAUCAAUGGAUCCUUUGCAGGGAAUGGGUGCCAUCAAAAUGAGAGUCCAAACAGUUGACAAAAGCAUCGCUAUAAUCCACAGGUAAUCCACAUGACACAAUUCAUUUUAAAAUUAGUCCUCUUUCCUGCUUUAUCCAGUAAAAAAAAAGUUGUCUUGUAUUAAGUAUUUAUUAAUAUUUUGAGUUGUGUGGAUUACUUGUGGACUACUGUAAUGUUUUGAUCAGAUGUUUGGACUCUCAUUCUGACGGCACCCAUUCACUGCAGUUGAUCCAUUGGCAAGUGAUUUAAUGCUAAAUUUCCUCAAAUCUGUUCCAGUGAAGAACUCUUCUACAUCUUGGAUGGCCUGCAGGGUGAGUAUAUGUUAAGCAAAUAUUCAUUUUUGGGUGAACUGUUUCUUAAAUGUUAUACUUUUGUUGUUAAUUGUUCACAUUAGUUAAUAGUGCUUUAUAUCUUGCAAAUUUAUAACAGUUUUACUAUUAAAAAAGUGUAUUUAAAUGCAUGUAGAAAUUAACAUUAAACUAUUUUAAACUAUUUUAUAUGCUGUAAAAUAAUUUUUCAUUUUGAAUUCAUUUUGUGUUAGAGAAUGUUAAUGUAUGCUUAAAUGUCUGAGCUUUUUUCUACAUAAUGUUGUGUCAGCAGCAUGUUGCAGUAGGAUUUACUGCUGCACUGCUUUAUGCAUUCUUUGUGUUCACAAAAAACGCAGCUGCUCUGAAAUGAUCUGGACCACAAAGCGGCUUAAUCCAGUCACCAAGAAAAUGCAACAGUAAUGUAAAUGUUUCAGUACAGCUCUGCUAAGACAAAUGUGAGGCCAUUAAUCACUAAACUCAUGCAAAUAUUGACAUACAUGAUUGUUAUUGUUUCACAAAGUGUAUUAGAAGAUGCUAAGAGAUGUUGACUUAAUGGUGACUGAUUGUUAAAUAUUAUAUUUCAUAUGAGGCCUACAAGAGAUUGACUGAGGAACCAAUGCCAAUUUAUAUGAGACAGAGGGGUGUUAAACUAACUUACUCCAUUGUAUGCAAAUUAGAUGUGCAUCUACUAUUAAAAUGUAAGGGUAGCCUAUAUAAAAUUCUUAUAUAUAAUUACAUUUUAAAGUAUUAAAUAAAUGUUAUAAUUCUAAUAAUUAAAUAUAAAUAAUAAUGAAUCUAAUAAAUAAAUAAAUAAUAAUGUUCAAAAGUUUGUCAGUAAGAUAUUAGAAAAAAUGUUUUAUUCAGCGAGAAAACAUUACAUUGAUAAAACUUUACUUAUGUAUAAUGCAUUAUAAAUGUUUAUUAAAGGCUAUAAUGCAUUAUAAUAUUCAUAAUGUGCAUUUUAAUACAUUAUCUUGUCAUAAAUCAUUAUAACUGAAUUUAGAAUACAAUGUAACAAUUAAUUCAUAAGUGUUAAUGUAUUAACGGUGGUUACAGUUAUUCAUAAGAUUGUACACCACAUUAUAAGGUGCAUUAGAAGGUAUAAUUAAUGCAUUAAAACUACUUUUAUAAUGCAUUAUACAUAAAAGCUUUAACUAAAGUGUUUCCAAGACAUUUGUAAUACUACAAAGGAUUUUUUUUUUUCAAAUAAAUGCAGUUUUUUUAAUUCUAUCUAUCAAAUUUUGCAAAUCCUGGAGGGGAAAAAAUAUUGCAGUUUCCGAAAAUAUUGAGUAGCACUAGUGUUUUCAAUGUUUCUUGAACACCAAAUCAAAAUGAUUUCUUAAGGAUCAUGUGAGACUGCACGAUAAUGGCUGCUAAAAAUACAGCUUUGCCAUAGGUCUAAUGAAAUGUAAUAAAUAAUAUGAUAAUAAAUAAAUAUAAUAAUUGUAAUAUUAUUGCACUAUAUAUUACUACUUUAACUGUAUUUUUAUAAAAUAAAUGCAGCAUGGUUAAGCAUAAAAGAUUGUUUCCAAAAAAAUAUUAUCAUUAUUUUUAAGAACAUGAUAAAAAAAAAUAAAAAAACUGAGUGAAAUGA